CAGAUUUAGCCUUUGAUAUUCACUUCCCUCUCUUCAAAUGCGUGUAACGUUCAUCAUAUAGCAUCGGGAAUCAGUUUGAUGCUCAUUAUAUUUUUCCUUUUCUCUCCAAUAAAAAAUGGUUGCAACUCUCCUUGCCUUUUGGAGCUCACAUUUACUUCACUUUCCCUUUUCUUUUUCUCGCCAAAUCCAUAUUCACUUUUUUCUAUUCCUACAUCUUCACGAGUGAAUUUGGCAAGAAGAAAAUGGAAGCAACUUUUUCAGAACUGGUAUCUGGGUCCAACCCAAUAAUAACACAUCUGGCGUAACACCAUGGGGAUGAAGGAGAUUCUAAUGCCACUCAUCUCCGUUGAAAAGCAACACUGGAGCGAAUAGCAGAGGCCAUCAGAAGGAACUCACUACCAAUCAUGGAACAAGGUUGGUUCUUGGAUUCUCAGCGAAGAAAUUGUGGAAGGUUAAUUGGUUGGUAUAGGACCUCAGGUACCUCUUUAAUCGCGACCCUUCAACUCCUAAAUUUCCAGCCUCUUCAUCGUCUAACGAGACAGAGAGAGAGAGGGAGGGAGCUGCUGUAAGUAUAUUUCAAGGUUUUGGUUCAUUCUCUGCUUAUUGAGGUUGGGUAGAACUUGGUUGAUUGGUCAAUGUCGAAAUGUGAAUUUUGAUAGCUGAAUUGGAUAAUUUUGGGAAAACCACAAUCAAUUUUAAAGAUAAUCAACGAUCCCAGGUGAGCCGCUAUAUCUUUGGACUCUUAUUGACAGAAUUUCUUAAUUCUAUUAUAAAAGUUUAUUUAAUGUUCGUGUAUUUCUUUUCUUUUGUUUGGUUCCUAACUCCUUAUAAUUUUGGUCACUAGGGAUAUAUUUCAAACAAGUAUGACCACUGUGCAGGCAUUUUUAUGCUUCAUACAAUAUAAUGCACACUAAACGUCUCUAUUGUCUGUUAAUAUUUGAUUUCUAUCUUCUAACUGAACUUUUUUAAAGCAAAUUCUGGUUAUUAUUAGAUCAAAGCAGCAGAGUCAGUUACAUCUUUAGCUAUAAGGCUAUAAGAAGGUUCAAUUUGUAUGAGACUUCUUCUAACCAGUAUCUAUUAUAUAUACAAAUUUAAAGACAAGGAGGCCAAGACAUGAGCAGCACUGUUACCCUCACUUUUUGUGAAAAGAAGAUCACACGACACUGCACAUUUGUAGUCAGCAUUAUGUAAUCUUUCAACCAUUUUAACUGAACUUCUCUUGUGUAGGCAACAAAAGCGAAUUAUGAAACUUAUUAUGAUAGCACAAAUGAUAUGUUGCUUUUGGUACUAUAAGUUUAGUUUCUGUCAACGUAUAACUUAAGGAGAAUUUAUAUCACCUUAUAUUUUUCUCUCUUAAAUAAUA